UGGCGACCGGCGCACGGGUGAGUAACGCGUAUCCAACCUGCCCUUUACUAUGGGACAGCCCGUCGAAAGGCGGAUUAAUACCGUAUGUUGUCAUGUUGAUGCAUAUUUUCAUGACCAAAGGCUUCGGCCGGUAAAGGAUGGGGAUGCGUCUGAUUAGCUUGCCGGCGGGGUAACGGCCCACCGGGGCGACGAUCAGUAGGGGUUCUGAGAGGAAGGCCCCCCACCACUGGGACUGAGACACGGCCCAGACUCCUACGGAAGGCAGCAG
rnacentral:rRNA from 1 species